rnacentral:tRNA from 1 species
GCGUUGGUGGUAUAGUGGUGAGCAUAGGUGCCUUCCAAGUGUUUGGCCCAGGUUUGACUCCCGGCCAACACA